ACGUGGGGCCUACUGGAGGCAGCAGUGGGGAAUAUUGCACAAUGGGCGCAAUCCUGAUGCAGCCAUGCCGCGUGUAUGAAGAAGGCCUUCGGGUUGUAAAGGGCUUUCAGCGGGGAGGAAGGCGGUGAAGUUAAUAGCUUCACCGAUUACGUACCCGCAGG
rnacentral:rRNA from 1 species